AAUUAUUAUUCAACGAAAUUCUUCAUACUAAAGGCAUAAAGUAGGUCUUGGGUAAUUUAUUAAAAGAAAAAGUCUCAGAUAUUACACAAUGUAUGCAUGCUCAAAAUCUCUUUUUCUGAUGCAGUUCUGCCUGACUUUGCUCAAGUAUACAGCUUUAUUGGCGGUGUCUUUGAUCCAAAUGCUACUGGUCAUCUGCAGAAGCUAAAAAAGAUGGACCCUAUAAAUGUUGAAACAGUGCUACUGUUAAUGAGAAACCUAUCCGUCAAUCUGACCAGCCCUGAUUUUGAGGAUCAUUGUGGGGAAGAACCUGAUUAGAGCUUGUUAUAUGAUUCUGGUCCUUAUGUUGGCAAGUCUACAUAACCAUGUGUCUUAAAUCUUAACUUCUCGACACUAUUCCUAGAUCAGGUACUGCACCUCAUUAAUACUGAGAGGGUUGCUGUCAUCCUACGAGAUUGACAUAGACACAAUUACCUAUGGUGAAGCUGAUAAAGCCUUUUAUAAUGAUCCAUCCAAGAAUGUUGCAUAACAUGGUACAAAAAAUGAGAUCAAGUUUUUGUUCUUACCUUAUUUGUUGCGCUUGCGCUCUCUUCAUAAGUUUCUGCACAACCCACACUGAUUCCGCGAGGGAAAGGUGACGAUUCAACAGGUUGAAGUCCUUGAUGUUGAUGAUGAUCUGCUGCACUGGUUAGGAGUAGUAUUGCAUAUAGUGAGGCCAUUGGCUAAAUAGUUUAGCUUAUAAUUGUUUGCCAUUUUGGCGUCAUGUAUAUAUCUGACAAAAGAAUACGAAUUGGAUUAAGUGUACAGUGUCAAGACUUGUUGCUGUCAAGUUUUGGCUUCUUAGGAUUAAUUUGCUGAGAAAAUGUAGUAUCUUGUGUAUACCAGUGUAAUCCUGUCUCAAAUGUACUAAUUGGUGAGUUGCUCUGUAUAAUUAAAUAACUUUUGGUUUUUCUA